UACGAAGGGGGCUAGCGUUGCUCGGAAUCACUGGGCGUAAAGGGUGCGUAGGCGGGUCUUUAAGUCAGGGGGUGAAAUCCUGGAGCUCAACUCCAGAACUGCCUUUGAUACUGAAGAUCUUGAGUUCGGGAGAGGUGAGUGGAACUGCGAGUGUAGAGGUGAAAUUCGUAGAUAUUCGCAAGAACACCAGUGGCGAAGGCGGCUCACUGGCCCGAUACUGACGCUGAGGCACGAAAGCGUGGGGGAGCAAACAGGG
rnacentral:rRNA from 1 species